CAGUCGCCGCGGUAAUACGUAGGUGGCAAGCGUUGUCCGGAAUUAUUGGGCGUAAAGGGCUCGCAGGCGGUUUCUUAAGUCUGAUGUGAAAGCCCCCGGCUCAACCGGGGAGGGUCAUUGGAAACUGGGAAGCUUGAGUGCAGAAGAGGAGAGUGGAAUUCCACGUGUAGCGGUGAAAUGCGUAGAGAUGUGGAGGAACACCAGUGGCGAAGGCGACUCUCUGGUCUGUAACUGACGCUGAGGAGCGAAAGCGUGGGGAGCGAACAGGAUUAGAUACCCCAGUAGUCCCUGUCUCUUAUAC
rnacentral:rRNA from 1 species